rnacentral:lncRNA from 1 species
CUUGCUUGCAUAGUAAAAAAGAAGAAAAUACCAGUCUUAGCAGUAAAAAAUGUUGAACCUGUAAAUAUUCUUGCAAGCAAAUGCUACCCAUUCAUCAUUGUCAUGAUCACUGAGGGGUAACACACCAAUUCUCUGAGAACAGUGUUUAUUCCUCUUCUUAAGUAAAACCUUAAGUUGUUAUCUGCUCUGUAAUCUGCAGAGCUUGCAUGUGUCUGAAAAAAGAAAUUGUACCUAAACCUAUUGAAAUGUGGAUUAUUUCUACAAGUAACUCAAACAUCCAAAUUUAACUGGCAGCCCUGUAUAAUGAUCCUAUGCUGUGUCAUUUCUGGUAUGAAUAAUACAGAGAAGGUAAUCAACUGCACCGAAUUCUUUCAGCUGCCUUGAUCAGCAGGCCCCUCACUGACAUAAAGGUCACAAAUCGUGACCUAUGUAAACAAAGCAGUUUUUGCUAAAACUGCCUUCAUAGAUAUUUACAGAACCCUGUGGAGAUGCCUCACUUACCCACUCCCACCUCCCAGUAGCCAGCAGGUGAAAUGCAGGUGCUAAUCGCAAGGGACACAGAUGUGUAAAUGGGGUAACAGAGUAUGUUUGGAUGUGAAAACUGUUCAUUUCUGUCGGCAGAAACCUGGAAACUGAGCAUCUUAACUACCUACACUGUGUGUGCUGGGGGGGUAGAGGGGUAUAAGGAGCUAUAUUCAUCAUUAUGCUUUGCAUGCAGCCUUGUUGAUGGAGUUCUUAUCUGUUUACAGAACAGAUAGAGCACGGCAUAUGGCAGCUACUGUAUACUUGCCUCUGCUCCUUUUGGCAAGUAGGACUUGGGAACGUAGAUGGUGGGGGAGCAGACACAACCCAAAAUGCUAACACCAAAAUUCAAAGGCUAACACCAGACAGUGACAAUGAUUUCCAAUCCCUAAUUAGAAUAAGCUAUUUUUUAUUUAUAUUUCUUUCUAGCAUUAUUUUUAUACGCUGAUUUCUGGUAUGAUGCUCAAGAAUUUGCACUAUAUGAGGAUGUGUUUUUGUCCUCGUGAUUUCAUAAUUAAUACAUCUCACAUGAUGCUUGUUUCAUUUUUCUCUUGAUAUAACUUGUAGUAUGUAUUUAUUCUUGUAUAAGAAGGUGCAUUUUCAGUUAUGAUGGAGAAACAUAAAGUGCAACAAUAAAGUUGAAUCCUAAAAUACUCUUAGCCCUCA